GAUUGGAUAGUAUAGUGGUGAGUACAAUUCGUUGUGGCUUAGCUGGUAUUACCCUCCAAAUGAACACCGAAUAGACCCAGGUUCGAUUCCUGGUCCAGUCA